UACUGCAUCAGGAACUGAUUGGAUAAUAUUCAGACACCAUCAGUUCCUAAUGCAUUGCC
rnacentral:pre_miRNA from 1 species